AUAGGAGAUUAUCACCGAGCCCAGUGUCAGCAAAUUACAUUUCAUUUCCAGGAUACAAUUAGCAGUCAUAUUGCGAUCAAAUAUUCAUGUUGCGUGAAGAGUCGCCGGACGACGAUUGCUUUAACAAUGGUUCUCCGGGUGGAAUGGUUUCACAGGGUGUAACAGCUAAAACAAACAAUGAAAAAUAUUCGUGUAAACAUGCGCUCUAUCUGCCUUCGCUAUGAGAUUUAGCGAAUGUUAAAAUAAGCGGAGCAAACUUAUUAAAAAUGUCGAGACUAGAGCAAGCUUUUCAACGAACACAGGAAACACCAGAAAUCGAUUCCUGCGUCGACAAACGAACAAACGGUUUAUCGUCUUCGGUUCGUUUAUUUGUUAAGCAACGGGUAGAGUAAAGAAGAUUCUUUCAAAUUAACGGAAGGACUACGGUGUGUCGAUUCUGGCGGCCACGAAGUAGGUUCCACGUGUUUUGUUACAUCCUGUACAUGCACUCCGGUUUGUUUGCUCCGAUUAUAUUUGCUGAAUAAUCGUAGCUGCUUUCAAAGUCAAGAUGAUUAUCAUGGAAGAGCAAUUGGAGAGAAAAAAGCAAAAGUGGGAUAAAACGAGGUGUCGGCCGAAUCACACGUACGAAUUAUAUUUAUGUU